rnacentral:lncRNA from 1 species
UUUUUCAUUAAUUAGGGUGCAAUGAUUAUUAAGGUUUCAAUUUGUAAUUACAUAUUUCUAAAAUGAUAUUCAUGCAGGAAAAUUACCUCACAAAUUUGAGUCAGAUCUAAUUCUUUGCUAUGUUUUUGUCACGACCCAUUUCCAUGGACCGGAUCGGCACUAGGACCUGGGUGGGCUUAAGGCCCCCGAAGCCCGUAGUAAGCCUAUAUUAUGUAAAUCUCAUUUACUAUUAAUAAUUGUGGAUACAGGCCCAAUAAUUUAUUUCAAUUAUAUAUCACUAGUACAGUUCAUCUACAACCCACUAGAAUACAAUUGCGAAACUCUACCUGUACAUUUACAUCAUCAUUUAUUUAUCGUUCACAGUCUUCUAUACUUAUGUCUCAACUCCAUAGGAUUUUUCUUUCUUCUAUUACCUGAAAAAAAAAAAAAAAAAAAAAAAAAAAAAANN